rnacentral:lncRNA from 1 species
GACAUGGUAAAAAACAUAUGCCAUGACAAUGCAAAACAAUAUUUCGACAUGGCAACAUACUUUGUGUUUUCCAUGCAACAUACUAUGAUGCAAUGGUAAAAUAAUAAUUUAAAUUGGGAUGGCAGCAAAAGUUGGGUUGACAUGGCAACAUAUUUUGUGUUUGCAUGGCAAAAAACAUAUUUUGACAUGCCAUCAACUAUAAUCUCAAAAAAAGAUUGGCAUGCAAUAUUUGUCAAUUAGCAUUACAACAAAAAGUAAAACAGUUCUCUGCAAAUUCAUGAACGACUGAGAAAAAAUGAAUCACACUAAAUUUGCAACAUAUGAACUGGGCUAAAUCACCAUUAGUGCUAAGCUAGUGACAUAAAACUGAACCUGUUCAGGAAGACUAUCUUCAACUGACGGCGUUCAAGUGGCAGGAGAAGAUGAUGAGGAUGUGCCCGUUGCCCAUGGGCAGCGUAUGGUCGCUGUGCUAGGAGAAGCCGACGCCCUGGCGCAGGAUGGCGGAGCCUCCGGGCGGCCUUGCAUCGGACGAGGUCGGCGGGAGAAGCCGUCGCCGUGGAGGGCGCCGCGGCGCACGAUGGCGUCCUCGCCUCCGGGCGGCUGCGCAUCGGACGAGAUCGGCGGAAGAAGCCGUCGCCGUGGAGGGCGCCGCGCCGCAGGAUGCCGUCGCCUCCUCCGGGCGGCCGCGCAUCAGACGAGGUCGGCGGGAGAAGCCGGCGCCGUGGCGGCCGCCGCGACUCGCUCAAGCCGCCCUCUUCCGGAUCUCCCACGUUCGUCGUCGUCCCGUGCUCGCCGCCGAAGGGUCCGGCCUCCCCAGCCUCGCUUGCCCGCCGGCGUCCCCAACCUCCAGCACGGGUGGACGUUGACCCAGCGCCCGCCCCGCUCGCUGGCCUCAUCUCGUGCGCGUGGACGCAGGUGUCCUCGAGGCCCAGCUCCCGCCCCAGCCGCUACGGCCCGCCUGCGCCGCGCGACGCCAUGAUUUGGCCGGCCGUCUUCUAAUCCGGUGAUGAAAAAGGAGAGUGGGGGAGUGGUGUCGAGUGGGAGGGGAAUGGAGCUGCGAGUGGAUAAG